UAAAAGUGAAACAAAAAAACAGACAAGGAAAAAAGCGGCGAACCCAGAAUUCUCAUUUGGAGCCCUAAAAUUGCCACUGCAAGGACAAACUUCGGCAGCAUGAUCGACAAAUCGCUGCUGUGAAAUCGACCUCCUGCAUCCUAUCUUUGCUGUCCCUUGUCGUCGAUUCAGAACCUUGGAACCAUCUCUGCCUCCGAAGAAGACGUCUAUCGACAGUAGCCGCACUCGUCUCCACCUCCGGCCACCGCAACCCAGUCGCAAUCGCCUCAGUAUAGUCCACCUCCUGCCAGCGCAGAAGGCUUGGAUAUCACUUUGUGUACUGACUGUAUGUCAUUUGUGUGUAGAUGAAAACAACUCGUCGAUUCUGAAGAUUAUCAACAGCCAGAACUCGGGGAAAACGAGUGAAUGUGCAGAGUAAUGUCUAUAACUUGCUUUGCUUCUUCCUAUUAACUGAUCCCAGAAUAAUAGAUAUCUUUCUACUGGCUUUUCAAGCGGUUCACUACAUUCAAUUUCCGAAAUUGAAGUGUGGAAGGAGGGAGCUUCCUUCUUCUUCUUCUUAUUCUUCUUCUUCUUCUUCAAUAUUGUUGAAACAUAUUGUGCAUUUUUAGUAGAUUUAGAAGCAUCAAUCAAUGACAAAUGGAAAUUUCUAUAGUUAACCGAAGAGGAAUUGGUGCAUUAUCAGUGUGUUGGGUAGUGUCGAACUAAUAUCUGACCUCGCUCGCCUUCGGAAGUAAUUGUAGAAGAAUGCAGGAGGCGAUCGAAUCUGAUUUUGGUUGAGCUUGUUUAGAUGUUGGGUAAAAGUUGUUGUGCUUGUUUAGUUGUUGGGAUAGCGGUCGAAUCUAAUUUUUGUUCCAUGAUGAGAGGAAGGGACGUUGGUGUUUGUCACAGUUGUAGAAAUACAAAACACUUUUUCGCGGACUGUCCAAUAAAAUGACGAUGCCCAUUGUGUGCACACGGGCUGCAAAAAUGUUAUGAAGUUGAAAGGGAGUAAAAAAAAGGGCGAUUGUUCAAAACAUGUAAUGUUAACUGCGGGUAUUUCUAGUGAGUCCUAAAUGAAGAAUCGAGCAGCGAAUCGAGCACAAGUAAUGAACUAGUGAAUGUUGCAGCCAACGAGGAAGUCGAAGAUUUGCCAAGCAUGUUCAAUAGUCUAGUUAGAAUAUUCGAGAAACGGGACAUCAAAAUUUCAUUGAACGUGACAUUCCAAAAGGGAAAGGAAAGUGCCAAAGCAAAUGGAAAAGGGAAGGGUUGCGCUUCAUGAGUACUAGGCAACAUUGACUAUUAGCAAACAUGUUUUUGAUUACCUUGAAACCUGGGAUUGAAUGUAUGGAAUUUUCCUUCUAUUGAACUUUGUAUUUGGCUUGAUUUUCUACAUUUUGUAGCUGCUGAUGUAUGAAGACUUUAUUGAACUAUGUAUUUGGUCAUUUUAAUGAUAUUAUCAUUGUCUAUGUAUUA